CGGACGGGUGAGUAACGCGCGAGUAACCUGCCUUACACAAGGGGAUAGCCGUUGGAAACGACGAAUAAUACCCUAUGAAACUAUCACUUCGCAUGAAGCGAUAGUCAAAGUGUUAGCGGUGUAAGAUGGACUUGCGUCUGAUUAGCUAGUUGGUGAGAAAAAAGCCCACCAAGGCAACGAUCAGUAGCCGGCUUGAGAGAGUGUACGGCCACAUUGGGACUGAGACACGGCCCAG
rnacentral:rRNA from 1 species